UGGCGGACGGGUGAGUAACACGUGGGAACGUGCCCUUUGGUUCGGAACAACUCAGGGAAACUUGAGCUAAUACCGAAUGAGCCCCCUCCUUUAACCAGGGGGGUGGGAAAGAUUUAUCGCCAUUGGAGCGGCCCGCGUCUGAUUAGCUAGUUGGUGGGGUAAAGGCCCACCAAGGCUACGAUCAGUAGCUGGUCUGAGAGGAUGAUCAGCCACACUGGGACUGAGACACGGCCAG
rnacentral:rRNA from 1 species